rnacentral:rRNA from 1 species
UACGUAGGGUGCAAGCGUUGUCCGGAAUUAUUGGGCGUAAAGAGCUUGUAGGCGGUCUGUCGCGUCUGCUGUGAAAAUCCGGGGCUCAACCCCGGACUUGCAGUGGGUACGGGCAGACUAAAGUGUGGUAGGGGAGACUGGAAUUCCUGGUGUAGCGGUGAAAUGCGCAGAUAUCAGGAGGAACACCGAUGGCGAAGGCAGGUCUCUGGGCCACUACUGACGCUGAGAAGCGAAAGCAUGGGGAGCGAACAGG